rnacentral:rRNA from 1 species
AGACGGGUGAGUAACGCGUGGGAAUCUACCUUUUGGUACGGAAUAGCUCCGGGAAACUGGAAUUAAUACCGUAUGUGUCCUUCGGGAGAAAGAUUUAUCGCCAAGAGAUGAGCCCGCGUUUGAUUAGGUAGUUGGUGGGGUAAUGGCCUACCAAGCCGACGAUCAAUAGCUGGUCUGAGAGGAUGAUCAGCCACAUUGGGACUGAGACACGGCCCAAACUCCUACGGGAGGCAGCAGUGGGGAAUAUUGGACAAUGGGCGCAAGCCUGAUCCAGCCAUGCCGCGUGAGUGAUGAAGGCCCUAGGGUUGUAAAGCUCUUUCGCCGGUGAAGAUAAUGACUGUAGCCGGUAAAGAAGCCCCGGCUAACUUCGUGCCAGCAGCCGCGGUAAUACGAAGGGGGCUAGCGUUGUUCGGAAUUACUGGGCGUAAAGCGCACGUAGGCGGACAUUUAAGUCAGGGGUGAAAUCCCAGAGCUCAACUCUGGAACUGCCUUUGAUACUGGGUGUCUCGAGUAUGGAAGAGGUAAGUGGAAUUGCGAGUGUAGAGGUGAAAUUCGUAGAUAUUCGCAGGAACACCAGUGGCGAAGGCGGCUUACUGGUCCAUUACUGAC